GUGCUUGUUUUGGGAGCACAUACACUAAAAUCGAAACAAUAUAGAAAAGCUUAGGAUGGCUUCUGUGCAAGGAUGACACACAAAUUUGUAAAACAUUCCAUGUUUAU
ensembl:snRNA U6 U6 spliceosomal RNA